AUGCAAGUCGAACGGAAACGAUGGGAGCUUGCUCCCAGGCGUCGAGUGGCGGACGGGUGAGUAAUGCUUGGGAAUCUGCCCAGUAGUGGGGGACAACUUCCGGAAACGGGAGCUAAUACCGCAUACGUCCUACGGGAGAAAGUGGGGGAUCUUCGGACCUCACGCUAUUGGAUGAGCCCAAGUCGGAUUAGCUUGUUGGUGGGGUAAAGGCCUACCAAGGCGACGAUCCGUAGCUGGUCUGAGAGGACGAUCAGCCACACUGGGACUGAGACACGGCCCAGACUCCUACGGGAGGCAGCAGUGGGGAAUAUUGCACAAUGGGCGCAAGCCUGAUGCAGCAAUGCCGCGUGUGUGAAGAAGGCCUGCGGGUUGUAAAGCACUUUCAGUGGAGAGGAAAUGCUCAGGGUUAAUAACCCUGGGUCUUGACGUAACCUACAGAAGAAGCACCGGCUAACUCCGUGCCAGCAGCCGCGGUAAUACGGAGGGUGCGAGCGUUAAUCGGAAUUACUGGGCGUAAAGCGCGCGUAGGCGGCUAGGUCAGUCGAAUGUGAAAGCCCCGGGCUUAACCUGGGAAUUGCAUCCGAUACUGCCUGACUAGAGUAUGGGAGAGGGAAGUGG
rnacentral:rRNA from 1 species